rnacentral:rRNA from 1 species
UACGUAGGGGGCUAGCGUUGUCCGGAAUCAUUGGGCGUAAAGCGCGUGUAGGCGGUCCGGUAAGUCCGCUGUGAAAGUCGGGGGCUCAACCCUCGGAUGCCGGUGGAUACUGUCGGGCUUGAGUACGGUAGAGGCGUGUGGAAUUCCGGGUGUAGUGGUGAAAUGCGUAGAGAUCCGGAGGAACACCAGUGGCGAAGCGACACGCUGGGCCGUACCUGACACUGAACCGCGAC